CUUCGGUGAUGACACGAUGACGAGUCAGAAAGGUCACAUCCUGCUCUUGGUCCACGUCAGUGCCAUGUUCUGUGGUGCUGUGUGGGUUCCUUUUGCAAACGUGUCCUGCUUAUUGAUUGAUUUAGAGGCAUUUGUCUGAGAAGG
ensembl:snoRNA SNORD15 Small nucleolar RNA SNORD15